GUGACUGAUUUGUAAUGUUUGUUGCUAAUCCAAAGCCUGGUAUGUUACAGUUUACGAUGGCUAAAGCGAUGGCAGAGGUCAGAGGUCACUCUUCAAUAAACUAAAGAGAGAAAGAAAUUGUAGCCGGGGCUGCUGUCCAGGAAGUAGGGCGCUGUGCGCUGGUUCUCUUGCCCAUAUAUGGAAGAGGCGGUGACAGAGCACACCUGGUGGGGGUGAGACAGGUAAUGAGCGUCUACAUUUAAAAGCAGGUAGAUCUCUGAGGAGGAUCCAUCCUGUUCUGAUUCCUGCAGAGGCAGCGCAUUUCUAGAGCGACGUCCGGAGCACCGUGGAUCGGUUUUACUGCAGAGAAGGUUCUGGUCCUGCUGGGCUCCAAGUCUGAGCUUCUGCUGCAGCCACAGCAUCUUCUCCAUCCGCAUCCUGAGAGUGGAGGAC